rnacentral:rRNA from 1 species
UUGACCUCGGAUCAGGUAGGGAUACCCGCUGAACUUAAGCUUAUAAAA